UGGGGAAUAUUGCACAAUGGGCGAAAGCCUGAUGCAGCGACGCCGCGUGAGGGAUGACGGCCUUCGGGUUGUAAACCUCUUUCAGCAGGGAAGAAGCGAAAGUGACGGUACCUGCAGAAGAAGCGCCGGCUAACUACGUGCCAGCAGCCGCGGUAAUACGUAGGGCGCAAGCGUUGUCCGGAAUUAUUGGGCGUAAAGAGCUCGUAGGCGGUUAGUCGCGUCUGCUGUGAAAACUCGAGGCUCAACCUCGGGCUUGCAGUGGGUACGGGCUGACUAGAGUGCGGUAGGGGUGACUGGAAUUCCUGGUGUAGCGGUGGAAUGCGCAGAUAUCAGGAGGAACACCGAUGGCGAAGGCAGGUCACUGGGCCGCAACUGACGCUGAGGAGCGAAAGCAUGGGGAGCGAACAGGAUUAGAUACCCUGGUAGUCCAUGCCGUAAACGUUGGGCACUAGGUGUGGGGUCCAUUCCACGGAUUCCGUGCCGCAGCAAACGCAUUAAGUGCCCCCGCCUGGGGAGUACGGCCGCAAGGCUAAACUCAAAUGAAUUGACGGGGUCAUAGCUGUUUCCU
rnacentral:rRNA from 1 species